UGCACAUGAUGUUUCUCACGAUGGUCUUCAUAUUCCCUUAUAUCAGGGAUGCUGACAAUGCUUUUAAGCACUUCACUGAUGUAAUCUU
rnacentral:snoRNA from 1 species